rnacentral:tRNA from 1 species
GCUCCUAUCGUUUAAUGGUUUAAGACGAUGCUUUUUCGUGGCAUAAAUAUGGGUUCAAAUCCCAUUAGGAGUA